AUUGAACGCUGGCGGCGUGCCUAAUACAUGCAAGUCGAGCGAACAGACGAGGAGCUUGCUCCUCUGACGUUAGCGGCGGACGGGUGGGUAACACGUGGAUAACCUACCUAUAAGACUGGGAUAACUUCGGGAAACCGGAGCUAAUACCGGAUAAUAUAUUGAACCGCAUGGUUCAAUAGUGAAAGACGGUUUUGCUGUCACUUAUAGAUGGAUCCGCGCCGCAUUAGCUAGUUGGUAAGGUAACGGCUUACCAAGGCAACGAUGCGUAGCCGACCUGAGAGGGUGAUCGGCCACACUGGGACUGAGACACGGUCCAGACUCCUACGGGAGGCAGCAGUAGGGAAUCUUCCGCAAUGGGCGAAAGCCUGACGGAGCAACGCCGCGUGAGUGAUGAAGGUCUUCGGAUCGUAAAACUCUGUUAUUAGGGAAGAACAAAUGUGUAAGUAACUAUGCACGUCUUGACGGUACCUAAUCAGAAAGCCACGGCUAACUACGUGCCAGCCGCCGCGGUAA
rnacentral:rRNA from 1 species